CAGUAGCUCAGUGGUAGAGCUAUCGGCUGUUAACCGAUCGGUCGCAGGUUCGAAUCCUGCCUG
rnacentral:tRNA from 3 species